AAGUCCUCUUCUCUCUAGCACUAAAUGGUCCCUUUCUCCUCUUUGCACAGAUUUGCUCUCCAGCACAGCAAAAGGGUCUGCCUGUGACCCUCACCGAACUCACUCUUCACUGCUUUAUAGAGACCAUCAGACUCAGGACAAAUAUUCUAGUUUGGAUGCGCAAUUAAUAAUAAGAAGAUACAGGACAGAGGCGGACUGAAUGGCUCCAAUUCUCAGAAUGUGAAAGCGUAAAUCAGAACCUACUAUUUUGUAAAACCAACUUGGAAAACAAAAUUGUCAGAAGCAAAACAACAACAACAACAACAAUAAAAACCAAACCAACAACAAAACCAAGCAAGUCAGGCUGUUUUACCAAUAAAGGGGGCACUGAAUGGAAUCAGAGAUCUGAUAAGUGCCGGGAAGUUGGACUAAGAGGGACAGGAGACUUCGAAACUUCUCUGAAUACUGCUCUGGGAUCAGUACACGUCAACCUGAACCCGGAAGAGUUCCAAGUAUCUUUCCCCUUCUCUGUCAGGUUCGUGUUACCCUGAACCUGUGAGCUCAGAAGGAAUUUUCUGGUUUUCGGGAGACGGCAGCCAUUCAUCAUAGCUCUCCACCACUGACUGACUGAGAGUCAAUUAUCAUCAAACAUCCAUCUGCCCAUGUCUUUCUAGAAGACUCACUUGUUGCCGUCUCGACGAAUAGCAACCCUGUAGAAGUGCACACAGUGUGGCAGCUCAGCAGACUCAGCCAUUAACUGCAAUAACUAUAAACCAUUUAGAGGGGGAGAGCAUUCAUACAGGUCCACUCCACACAGGCCUGGUGCUUUCUCUGGAAUCAGAGCCUCCAGAUGCUAAUUAUUCCUACUCCAUGAUUGAGGAUUUGGAGUCGGAGACUCACCUGCAAUAUUUGGAAUACCAGUGGAGAUCCAUAUCAACAUGGAAUUUAUACAGCAGCUGGUGCCAGUCACAGCUAAUGAUGAAACUUCAGCUUAAUAAAAAGACCCCCAACUGAG
rnacentral:lncRNA from 1 species